rnacentral:lncRNA from 1 species
GCGGUAUAAGCUACUUAGUGUGACGGACACCAUUAUCGUUACUCACAUUUAACUAAUUAUUGAGCUGAUUACAUUACAGGUUCUCUGUCCAUGCUAUUUGAAGACAAGGAGGUGUAGUUUAGGCUCAUAUCUAACAAAACAGCUUUGCUUUUACCAUACUAGAACGUGAUUGAUUUAUGCUGUACUUUGAAAUCUGCUCUGCAGAUGAUCC